rnacentral:tRNA from 1 species
UCCCUGGUGGCUCAGACGGUAAAGCAUCUGCCUGCAAUGCGGGAGACCCGGGUUCGAUCCCUGGGUCGGGAA